rnacentral:rRNA from 1 species
UAGGUAGCUUAACCUUCGGGAGGGCGCUUACCACUUUGUGAUUCAUGACUGGGGUGAAGUCGUAACAAGGUAACCGUAGGGGAACCUGCGGUUGGAUCAUCUCCUUA